CUGCAUUGUAUGGAUAUUCCAAAAUGUGUUUAUCCAUUUAACUCUUGAUGGAAAUUUGGAUUGUCUCCAGUGUUUGGCUGUUAUCAAUGAACAUAUGAACAUUUGUAUACAAAGCACUAUAUGGACAUAAAUUAUAUUUCUUUUGGAUAAAUACUUAGGAUAAGCAAAUGUAGAUCAUAUGGUAGUGGUAGGUUUAGCUUUUUAAGAAAAUACCAACUUCUCUUUUUUAAUGUGAAAGAUCUUCACUUUUAUUAAGCAAUGAAGACUAUAAACAUGGAAGCUCACCGACCCUUAUUUUCCAGCUUUAAGACUUCUCUUUUUAUUAGUUUAAAAUUAAAUUAGUUUUUAUUAGGGCAUAGUUGAUUUACAGUGUUCAGACAAUUUUCGCUGCACAGCAUGGUGACCUAGUCAUACAUAUAUACACAUUCUCUUUCUCAUAUUAUCUUCCAUUAUGGUCUAUCUCAAGAGACUGGAUGUAGUUCCUUGUGCUAUACGAUAAAACCUCAUUGCUUAUCCAUUCUAAACCUAAGAGUUUGCAUCUACCAACCUCAAACUCCCCAGCUAUCCACUUCUUCUGCCCUCCCCUUUGGCAACCACAAGUCUGUUCUCCAUGUCUGCGAGUCUGUUUCUAUUUUGUAGAUAGGUUCUUUUGUGUCAUAUUUUAGAUUCCACAUAUAAGUGAUAUUAUACUGUAUUUGUCUUUCUCUUUCUGACUCCUUUCACUUAGUAUUAGAGCUUCUAAUUACAACCAUGUUGCUGCAAAUGGCAUUAUUUAGUUCUUUUUUAUAGGUGAGUAGUAUUCCAUUGUGUAUAUGUACCACUUCUUCUUGAUCCAUUAAUUGGUUAAUGGACAUGUAGGUUGUUUCCUUGUCUUGGAUAUUGUGAAUAGAGCUGCUAUGAACACAGAGGUACAUCUAUCUUUUUCAAGGAAAGUUUUGUGUGGAUAUAUGCUCAGGAAAGGGAUUGCUAGAUCAUUUGGUAGUUCUAUAUUUAGUUUUCUGAGGUACUUCCAUACUGUUUUCCAUAGUGGCUGUGCCAAUUUACAUUCCCACCAACAGUGAAGGAGAGUUCCCUUUUCUGCACACCGUCUCCAGCAUUUUUUUAUUGUAGACUUAUUAAUGAUGGCCAUUCUGACUGGUGUGAGGUGGUACCUCACUAUAGUUUUAAUUUGCUUUUCUCUAAUAAUUAGUGAUAUUGAGCAUUUUUUCAUGUGCCUACUGGCCAUCUUUAUUUCUUUGGAAAAGUAUCUAUUUAGGCCUUCUUCCAAUUUUACUGUCAGAGAACAAACUGCAUUUGUAAAACUAUUCUCCCAUAUGCCUAGGAAAUAUUUUCCUAACAUACCUUGUAAGUCUUCAAAGAAGUCCUGACUUGAGUGCCCAUAACUAAUGUUGGAUCAGAGAGUCUUUACAGAACAGGGUUAACCAUAGCUUGGCCAUGUUCAUCAUUCUUCCCUUAGCUGAGUACACCUACAUGAAUCAACCAUCAAUUUACAGCACUUUGAAAGGUAUAAUCUCAAGAGAAAGAUGACGCAAGAAAUUGCGGUAAGGGCACUUUAAAAUGUGUUAAGGGAACAAAACUGACAUCUUAAUGCUUCCUGGUAAAAGUGACAUAAUUGUCCUUAGAAACAACUCGUUCCACAGACUUCCUAAAUUACUUUCAUUUUUAUUCAGUGUGCCAUGGCAUAGAUGUUCCUAUCUUUUACCAACCUUGUUAUUUCAACUCUUUAAUUCUACAACAUAUCUUACCUAUUUUUCUGCUAGCACGGUAACAAGAUAAAAAUAUAUAAUAACAAUUGUGAAACAUAAAAUUUAAGGGUUCUAUUAAAAAUAUUUAAACACUGGUAUGACAUGGAAACUCAUCAACCAGACCAGUUGCCUGCUACAAUGUUAUGCUCAUAUGUACUGAAGAAAUACUAGCCCUGUAAUAAAUGUUAUCAUAUGGUUAUAUUGUUUUUCAGGUUAUAAAACAUUUUCAAAUCAAGUAUCUUAUUUGAAUUUCAUAAAAGGUAGCUAGGCAUGAUUAUCCCCACUUCACAAAUAAAAGUGAUAAGAAAGAUAAAUUAUUUUUUUCCACUGUUUUUCAUAGCUAGUUAAUGGUAGCAAUGGGAAUUAAAAUCAGUUGUAACUCAUUAUCCAAAAAUUUUCCACCAUUCCCCAUAGUCUCUGGCUCUAAAAAACAAAAGAUCCUGUGGUCUCAUUCACACAUACCUAUGCAACGAAGACAAUACAUUUGGUGGAACAAAUAUAUAUUAACACAGGUGCUUCAGAUUCAGAAAAGAGAAGAGGAGGAGAGAAGGUGUAAAAAUUGAUCUUCCCCAAGUGGUGACAAUGAUUAAAUAUUUCUGUAAUGAAGGAGGCUCCAGAGCUCCUUGACCAAAUGCAUCUCUGACAUCCGCUCCCAACCUUGACACUCUACAGAGCCUUCAAAAUGUGAUUCUCAAAUCUGCUGUAUCAGCAUUACCUUGCCACACAUUAGAAAUGCACUGUCUCAGACCCCUGCCUCCUCCUCCCACUAAGACCUACUGAAUCUCAAUUUUUACAAUAUCCCAAGUAACUUAAAGUCUGAGAAGUACUCCUUUGGAUCAUGUAUCCUUACUCAGAUAAGAUGUGCAUCCUCUAAUAGGAUUUCAUGGUCAUUUUUCGUCACCACCACCCAUCUGAGAUUUUCUGCUUUAGUGCCUUAAAACUUAUGGGCUACACUAGAAAAAAACAAACAAAAAACCUGUAUAUUCAAACUAUCAGUUUCUCCAUCACAUGAUGAGUUGUGUGCUCCUUAUGAAAUCAGGCUCCUUCCUGAUGGAACAUGCUCCCCCUGCAGGCCUCUCAAGGGAAGGCUGUUUUUCCUUCUACAUCCUGCAUUGCACAGAGCCUGGAGGGGAGGCUGCCCAUUCUCCAUGUUGCUCACUUACUUCCUCCUUUCUCCUUCAAAAACCCUGCCAUUUUGGAAGCAUACGCCAUCAAGUACUACGAUCAGUUAUCUUGACUUCUUGUAGUCACAUGCCACUCUCAUUAGCUUCUUAAUCACUGAAGACCUAAUCUCAAAUUCAAGGUCUUGGAGUUCCCGCUGUGGCACAACACAAUUGGCAGCAUCUUGAGAGCAGUGGGAUGCAGGUUUGAUCCCCAGCUUGGCACCUGAGAUGGAUAUUCACACAUUCCCUUCUCUUAUGAACUCUUCAACACCCUCUCCCUCUUACCUUUUGACUGACUUCUUUAUUUCAUUGAGAGAACCAAAGAAACCAAAAGAGAACCACUGCACCUUUCCACCAUCAAAUAUCUCGUGCCUGCUUCUUCACCCAUACGCUAUUUUCAUAGCUAUAUAAAAUCAAACCUUCUAUGCACUAGAUCACAUCCUCUCUCACCAAGCCAGGACUUCACUUGUGACCAGUAUUUUUUUCUCCUUAUUGUCCAUUUCCCUCUAAAUAAUGGCUCAUUCCCAACAGCAUACAAAUAUACUGCAAUUUCAUCUCUGUUUGGAAAGAUUCCUCAUUGGCCUCAUGUCUCUCUCCAGGUAUGUUCUUUCUCUACUUCCCAUAGGGAAAAAUUCUAUGAAAUAGUCGUGUCUUUUCACUCCCCCAUACUCUCUUCUUUUUAACCCACUUUGGACAGGUUUUCCCUCCACUAUCACUCAGAAGCUGCUGUAAUCAGAGUCACCAUCAAACCCCAUCUUCUCAAGUCCAGGGCUAGUUCUCUACUCCAGUCUGCACUCUGCACUCCAUCCCUCCCUUUCUGCCCCCACCCCCCAUGUCUCAGUUCUGUUGGGUCCUUGUCUGACCUCAUUAACAGCUGCUUCUCAACUAAUUUCAGCUUAGCAUGCCCCUUAUCCCAGAAAGAGGCAAAUUUAAUAACAGUUUCUUAUUAAAAACAAAAAUAAUCUAAAAGCAGUCACACUCUAAGGAAUGCAUCACAUAAUGACAUUCCAGGUAUUAUUACAGAAAGAUUUGUUAUGUCUUCACUGCAGAGACAUAAAGAAAAUCGUGUCAUCUCUUAGGGCCUCUUUUAAUCCAUUAGUAAAAUGAGCAUGUUAGAGUCAGAAAAAGUGUAAGAUAGUUCAUUUAAGUGUGAAAAAGUCUAAGUAUCCCUGAGUAUGGGACGUAUUAUUAGUCAGUGGCUAAAGCCAGAACCAGUAAUGUGUAAAGAUUAAAGAACUGGUCAGAUGUCAAUGAUGAAAACAUAGUAGCCAUCAAUCUCAAUUUAUGUCAGGACCCUGGAAAGCAUGAUCCAGUCACAGAACUGCAAUGGAACAUGCACCCUCCUUACUUCUCAGAGCAUGACAUUUAUUUGAUAGGAAACAAGAGCUGUCAUUUUAUACUUAUAAAUAAGGCAUAUAAUUCUGGGAUCCAGGCAAGUAGGAGGAAGGAAAAGGAGAGCUCAAGAAGAAGGCUGGGGUGCGCAGGGGAGACAUCUCAGGAGGGAUGAAAACUAGGAAGGUCCACUUUUCCCAAAAACACCAUCUACCUCAUGAUGUUAGCACCCACCCACUUUCUGGCUUCUACAGCACAACUGAGAAAAUCACAGCAUUAACAUGUAUACACUACUGUGUAUAAACUAGAGAAUCAACAGAGACGUACUGUGUACCACGGGAACAAUAUUUUGUAAUGAUCUAUAAGGAAAAAGGAUCCGAAGAAGAAUGCAUAUAAUGGAGUCACUUUGCUGUACAUCUACAUCUAACACAGCAUCGUAAAUUAACUAACUUCCAUAAAAAGGUCACAUGUAUCUUUAUAUAAUAUGUGGUGAUCAGCAUGCAAGAGGUCUUAGAUAAGGCAAGGAAAAAGUUACUAAUCUUCUCAUAAUGCCAAAUAUGCCUUAUUCUAUUCCCUUUAGCAUUUCAGAGCAGGGAGGGAUUUUAAGGAUCACAGUCUAAACAUCAACUUUAGAGAUGAUGACACAAAAGACCAACAUAUCAGAAAUAGGAAAAACAAAGGCUCUUGAUCUAGAUUUGAAUUCUCUAGUUUUCGCUCAAGCAAUAAAAGAAAUAAAAAUUGUAAGUAAUGACUAUUUUUAUGGAUGCAUAGCUAAAAUAGUAUUAGUAGAUAUCUCCAGGUAAAGAAAAAUGGAUGAUAUUUAUUUUCUUAAAAGUUUAGAGUAUUAUUAUAAUUAGAAAAGAGGGAGUUCCCGUCGUGGCGCAGUGGUUAACGAAUCCGACUAGGAACCAUGAGGUUGUGGGUCGGUCCCUGCCCUUGCUCAGUGGGUUGACGAUCCGACGUUGCCCUGAGCUGUGGUGUAGGUUGCAGACGCGGCUCGGAUCCCGCGUUGCUGUGGCUCUGGCGUAGGCUGGUGGCUAUGGCUCCGAUUCGACCCCUAGCCUGAGAACCUCCAUAUGCCACAGGGGCAGCCCAAGAAAU
rnacentral:lncRNA from 1 species